rnacentral:rRNA from 1 species
GGCUCAGGAUGAACGCUAGCGACAGGCUUAACACAUGCAAGUCGAGGGGCAGCGGUGGUGAAGGCUUGCCUUUACCAGCCGGCGACCGGCGCACGGGUGAGUAACACGUAUGCAACCUGCCUGCCACAGCCGGAUAAUCGGGAGAAAUUCCGUCUAAUACGGCAUAAUGCAUCGACGGGACAUCCUGCUGGUGCCAAAGGUUGAUUCCGGUGGCGGAUGGGCAUGCGUCGCAUUAGUUAGUUGGCGGUGUAACGGACCACCAAGACGACGAUGCGUAGGGGUUCUGAGAGGAAGGUCCCCCACACUGGUACUGAGACACGGACCAGACUCCUACGGGAGGCAGCAGUGAGGAAUAUUGGUCAAUGGGCGGGAGCCUGAACCAGCCAAGUCGCGUGAGGGAUGACGGCCCUAUGGGUUGUAAACCUCUUUUGCCGGGGAGCAAAGUGCCGCACGUGUGCGGUUUGGAGAGUACCCGGAGAAAAAGCAUCGGCUAACUCCGUGCCAGCAGCCGCGGUAAUACGGAGGAUGCGAGCGUUAUCCGGAUUUAUUGGGUUUAAAGGGUGCGUAGGCGGACGCUUAAGUCAGCGGUAAAAUUGCGGGGCUCAACCUCGUCGAGCCGUUGAAACUGGGUGCCUUGAGUGGGCGAGAAGUACGCGGAAUGCGUGGUGUAGCGGUGAAAUGCAUAGAUAUCACGCAGAACUCCGAUUGCGAAGGCAGCGUACCGGCGCCCAACUGACGCUGAAGCACGAAGGCGUGGGUAUCGAACAGGAUUAGAUACCCUGGUAGUCCACGCAGUAAACGAUGAAUGCUAGUUGUCCGGGGCGAUUAAGUUCUGGGUGACACAGCGAAAGCGUUAAGCAUUCCACCUGGGGAGUACGCCGGCAACGGUGAAACUCAAAGGAAUUGACGGGGGCCCGCACAAGCGGAGGAACAUGUGGUUUAAUUCGAUGAUACGCGAGGAACCUUACCCGGGCUCAAACGCAGGAGAGAUGUUUUUGAAAGGAGGCAGCCAGCAAUGGUCUCCUGCGAGGUGCUGCAUGGUUGUCGUCAGCUCGUGCCGUGAGGUGUCGGCUUAAGUGCCAUAACGAGCGCAACCCCUACCUACAGUUGCCAUCGCGUGAUGGCGGGCACUCUGUGGGGACUGCCUGCGCAAGCAGUGAGGAAGGCGGGGAUGACGUCAAAUCAGCACGGCCCUUACGUCCGGGGCGACACUCGUGUUACAAUGGCAGGUACAGCGGGAAGCCACCCGGCGACGGGGCGCGGAACCCGAAAACCUGUCUCAGUUCGGAUUGGAGUCUGCAACCCGACUCCAUGAAGCUGGAUUCGCUAGUAAUCGCGCAUCAGCCACGGCGCGGUGAAUACGUUCCCGGGCCUUGUACACACCGCCCGUCAAGCCAUAGAAGCCGGGGGUGCCUGAAGUGCGUGACCGCAAGGAGCGCCCUAGGGUAAAACUCGGUGACUGGGGCUAAGUCGUAACAAGGUA